CAUGAGAAAGAAAUUAACACACAAAUCAACAAUGCAAAUACGUAACCAGCUUAAGAGGAUGAUCAACAGUCAAGCAAUCAAUGCAUGAAGCUUUAACAAUAUAAUCUAUAUCAGGUUUAAUGCAUGGAUAAAAUAUCUUGGGAGAAGCAUUCUGUAAUUUGCCUUUAAGCUUUAUGACCAAUUUAAAAAGUGAAAUGGAACAAAGCAGAUAGACACUUCCUUGAAACUCACCUGAAGUGCAGAAAGGGCCACGGCACCACAGAGACAUAUAAGUGGAUAUACAGGGAAAAGAAAUCUCUCCUCUUUGUGAGGCUGGAUGAAGAAAAUCAGAAACCAAAUAUACAUUGGAGCCAAGGAUCAGCUCAAGGACCACCAUCUAUAAGAAGUCUUUUUGCUACCCCCACAUGGACUUAUUCCUAUGACUCCUUAUCUUUCUUCUGCAGCACAUAAUACACUAGAGUAUAAUUAUCUACUUGUGUGACUGCAGCCUUAUUGGACAGCAAAUUCUAUGAGGACACACAUGCUCAAAGCAAGGAAAGGCAGAGGGUGCUGGUGUUUUUCAGCCUCGUGAUGAUAAAAAUACAAUACUGUAAUAGAAAGCGACAUGAUGAAAAUAACAGCUCUACCACUUAGGAGUUCUUUGAAUCCCA